rnacentral:rRNA from 1 species
GUGAACUGCGAAGGAUCAUU